CAUAGGAGGCAGAACUGGUUGGUAUUUGGUGAGAACGUGCAGCGUGAGCGGAGAGUAACUCCCAGGCAUCAGGUCCAAGCAACGGCUGAUGGCGUCACUUCCUGAGCACGGCUACCCGGUACCGUCAAGAUUAAGAUCUUGGGGACUGGACUGGAAACCAAAUUGGCAUUAAUAUGGGAAGAUGUACUUUGAUAUAAUGAAAAUUUAGAAAAACAUGUGAGUUGGAUUCUGUCUGUAUCUUUAUAGAGAUAUGUGUAUAAAUAUAUUACAAAAUUCACAUCAAUUUACACAUAACUUUUAUGUAAAUUACAAUACAAGUAUUUGAGGUUUGAAUGCUAUAGUUUGUUUUUAUUAAGAUUUACUAAUUGA
rnacentral:lncRNA from 1 species